GAUGAACGCUGACAGAAUGCUUAACACAUGCAAGUCAACUUGAACUUCGGUUUGGGUGGCGGACGGGUGAGUAACGCGUAAAGAACUUGCCUCACAGAUAGGGACAACAUUUGGAAACGAAUGCUAAUACCUGAUAUUAUGAUUUUAGGGCAUCCUAGGAUUAUGAAAGCUAUAUGCGCUGUGAGAGAGCUUUGCGUCCCAUUAGCUAGUUGGAGAGGUAACGGCUCACCAAGGCGAUGAUGGGUAGCCGGCCUGAGAGGGUGAUCGGCCACAAGGGGACUGAGACACGGCCCUUACUCCUACGGGAGGCAGCAGUGGGGAAUAUUGGACAAUGGACCAAGAGUCUGAUCCAGCAAUUCUGUGCGCACGAUGAAGUUUUUCGGAAUGUAAAGUGCUUUCAGUUGGGAAGAAAAAAAUGACGGUACCAACAGAAGAAGUGACGGCUAAAUACGUG
rnacentral:rRNA from 1 species